rnacentral:rRNA from 1 species
AUAGCCUACGGGGCGCAGCAGUGGGGAAUAUUGGGCAAUGGGCGCAAGCCUGACCCAGCAACGCCGCGUGAAGGAAGAAGGCUCUCGGGUUGUAAACUUCUUUUAUCAGGGACGAAGCAAGUGACGGUACCUGAUGAAUAAGCCACGGCUAACUACGUGCCAGCAGCCGCGGUAAUACGUAGGUGGCAAGCGUUAUCCGGAUUUACUGGGUGUAAAGGGCGUGUAGGCGGGAAAGCAAGUCAGAUGUGAAAACAAUGGGCUCAACCUGUGGCCUGCAUUUGAAACUGUUUUUCUUGAGUACUGGG